rnacentral:lncRNA from 1 species
AGUAGAAUGAGGUGGCUUGUCAUCUGGGCUGGCUGGGCCCUGACUUCUCAGACACAGAAAGGUCUUUGUGAGGGAAUUUGGACCUGGGGGAUUUGGGGACUAAGUACUGUGUUCAUCAGGCAAUCAAUCCAAGCAAUUAUCAGCCACAAAAACAAAUAUGUUUGGAUUUUCGACACUCAUAGGAGAGGAGCAACACAUUUAUUGAUUGAUUGAAUGAGACAAGGUCUGGCUCUGUCGCCCAGGCUGGAGUGCAGCGACAGGAUCUCGGCUCACUGCAAUCUCUGCCUUCUGGAUUCAAGCCAUCCUCCCACCUCAGCCUCCCAAGAAGCUGGGACUACAGGUGUGUGCCAUGACACCCGGCUAAGUUUUUGUACUUUUUUGUAGAGACGGGGUUUUACCAUGUUGCCCAGGCUGGGCUCAAACUCCUGAGCUCAAGCAAUCCGCCUACCUUAGCCACCCAAAGUGCUGAGAUUACAGGCAUGAGCCACCGCACCUGGUCAAGGGAGGAGCAAUUCAGAAUGGCAAAAACAGAGCUGACACUGUUUGUAGACAUACAGACCUGGGUUUGAAUCCUGACUCUGUCUUUAGAACCUUUCACAACUAGACCCAACUUCACCGCUGUGGGGGAUAACAAUAGUUGCCAGCUCUUAUGGAGUGAAUGUUAGUGUCUCUCCCAUCAAAUCCUACCCGUGAUGUGAUGGUACUAGGAGGUGGGACCUUUGGGAGGUAAUUAGAAGUAGAUGAGAUCAUGAGGGUGGGGCCUCGACAAAUGGGAUUUGUGCCUUAUAAGAGUCAAAAGAGAACUUGCGUCUUCUCUCUGCUCUCUGCCAUGUGAGGACACAGGGAGAGGUCAGUGGUCCACAACCCAGAAGACAGCCUCCACCAGAGCUCAACCAUGCUGGCACCCUGAUACCGGACUUCCAACCUCCAGAACAAUACAGAAGUUGACUAAGACACACAUCAUGAAAAAUGCAAGGUGAAGUUUCACUUUAAUUUCAGCUUUUGUAUUGGAAAUGCAUUUGGAUGACUUUCUUCCCUACUGCUGGGAUUGAACAUUUGAUCUUCUUUGCCCUUGGUCGGUGUCGACCAGAAGAACGUGGGUGUCUGCGAGGUAGCAAGAGAUCAAGGACAAGUUCCCAUCAGGAGCCUGACAAUCCCAGCUCCAGGUGUCAACAAACAUUGUGUUUUAAAUAUUUUUAGGAGACAAGAGGACCUGAAAAGGAGUCCUUUCUGGCCGGGGGUUAUCUAGGUCUUGGGAGAGGUGUCAGGAGGGAUAGCUGGGGCCGCUGGCGUCAAAGGACC